UGCCAAUUGUGAUUUUCUUCAGCACUGUGACGUCCAUGUUCUACUACAUGGGAUUGAUGCAGUGGAUCAUCAGAAAGGUACUGGGAUUGGGACAUACAAGGUGACAGGUGCAGAGUUGAUUAUUUCAGGUACAAAAUCUUAAAUGCCUUUUAUCCAGGCAUUUCUAAAGUGCCUUUCUCUUCCUACAAAUAUUCACCUCCAUCACCAAAGUUAUUACAUUGAAACGCCAAAUCCUGCACGUGCCCAUAAGAGGAAUUUUAUCUCAGGGUCUUCUAAUAGGGCUUUGAUUUACAACCCACUGGAUAACUCCAUGAAACCAUAGCAGUUACGUCUUUAACCAAGCAAUUGAGGUCAAAUACCUGCCAGGGGGACGUGGUGUUAAUCCCUCCUCACAGUUACCUACACUAGGCCUCAUACAUACUGACAACUUGUCUUUAGAAAGUUACCAGAGUAGGUAUGCCUCAUCUUAGAGUUGCUAGAGAAAUUAAAGCAGGAAAGCGAAGUGCUUUUCACUCUGGGGGUGGGGGAGUUUUAUAAGCACACUUUUUUUUUAAAAUGUAAGAGUUAAACUCAUUCUUGCUGCUCCAGCAAUUGAGUUCUACUCUCAUGUCAGAUCAGAAAACUAGAUAUUUGUAAGCUAGUUUGGAUGCACAUGGAAGCAGACCAAUGCACACAGGGCUUGAGGGACAACCACAGCCUUCCUUUGAUUCCUGUAAAUAAAUCAAAAUAUACAACCAGAAAGAGAAAAGACAGGAGAAAGAGAGAAAGAAAGAAUAAGAAUACCAGCAGAAUUUGCAAUCACAGUGAGCUCCAGUACUCAUAAUUUCCUGAUUAUUGGUUUAUAUAUUCAGAAUUACUGCACUCACAUUUAGAAUCCAAAUUUUUAAAAUUCUGAUAAUAAUAUUAUUUGAUGAUAAUAUGUAUCUGCUUAGAAUCUUUGGAAAAUGCACAGGAAUAACUGCUUUUUUAAAGGAGAAAAAAAGGUCAAUGGUAGAAACCCUGCUUAGCAUAACAAGGUCAUGAGUUCAUUCACCAGAACCAAAAUAAAGCAAUUUUUAAAAAUAAGAAGAAAGUAUAUAGUGCUUGUGUGAAAUAAUCUUACAGAGAAAGAGAGAGAAAGCCUUAAAAACAAAUACAAAUAUGUUAAAAAAUGAUCAUAAAAGUCUUUAUUGUAUCAUAAAUGCAUGUAGAUAAUGUUAUAUAUAACUGACAAUGAAAUUAUACAUCAUUUUACAUCUUGCUUUUCCAACCACUAUUCAAUGUAGCCAUUUCCCAUGCUAAUAAAUAAUAUCAAAAAGUAAAUGUUUUUUAAAAAAGAAUUACCGUACUCAUAUAGCUAAGUGGAAAAAAAGGAAAUAGAAUUUAACAAGAAGUCUGCAUCCUGAGAUAGGUAUCAUGGUCACUGGUUGAAAGGUUUAUUAGUCACCUUUCCAUUACUAUGAUAAAUAUCUGAGAUAAUCAACUUCUAUAGAAGAAAGGUUUAUUUAGGCUCACAGUUUUGGAAGUUUUGGUCCAUGAUUGAUUUGCCUUGCUGCUUUGGGGCAGGGAAUGCCUGCUCACCUGAUGACCAGAAUGUGAAAAGGGAAAGGAAAUGACUGAGAUUCCACAAUAUCUCCCAAUGGCAGUGACCUAAGAUCUCCCGCCAGGCAUGGCCUUUUAAAGUUUUCACCACCAGUUGAUAGUGAUACAGUCUGGAGACUAAGCCUUUAACACAUGGGGCUCUGGGGGACAUUUCAGAUUCAAAUUAUCACAGUAGGAUCCAUAAAACACUUUCAUUUGAAUUAAUCAGAAAAAGCCAAACUUCAACUACAUCUCACUAUUUAAUAGUUGACAAAACCACUUUCUUUGACAAAACAACUAUUCUGUACUUUGGUUUCCACUUCUGUCAAAUGGGCAUAAUAUAUAGGACAUACUUCAAAAAGUAAAGAUUCAAUGCAUUUCCUAGGUCAAGGGCUUACAACAGUGCCUAGAGUGCAGAAAAGCCCACCAUAAGUGUUAACAAAUAUCACUUAUUACUUUUAUAAAGCAUAUCUGUAGAAAUCAUUUGUCUAAUGUUCAAAAGUCUAUACAAUGACUCAGACUUACCACCCUUACAGGAGGAUUUGAUCAGCCUGCUCUAUGGGCUAGAUGGUUUAUACAUACAUUUAUCACCAUCACCAACCUGCCCAUGAUUAUUGAAGGCCUCAAUAUUUUACUCCAGUUCAAAAACGUUACCCCACUCUGAAGUUUAUUAUAUAGACAUAGCUCAUCACUGACUUUGUCCCUUUCUUCCUUUUAGAUCGGAUGGAUAAUGCUUGUUACUAUGGGCUCAUCUCCUAUUGAGUCUGUAGUUGCUGCUGGCAAUAUAUUUGUUGGACAC
rnacentral:lncRNA from 1 species